AGAGUUUGAUCAUGGCUCAGGACGAACGCUGGCGGCGUGCUUAACACAUGCAAGUCGAACGGAAAGGCCCCUUCGGGGGUGCUCGAGUGGCGAACGGGUGAGUAACACGUGGGUGAUCUGCCCUGCACUUUGGGAUAAGCCUGGGAAACUGGGUCUAAUACCGGAUAGGACUACGCGAUGCAUGUCGUGUGGUGGAAAGCUUUUGCGGUGUGGGAUGGGCCCGCGGCCUAUCAGCUUGUUGGUGGGGUGAUGGCCUACCAAGGCGACGACGGGUAGCCGGCCUGAGAGGGUGUCCGGCCACACUGGGACUGAGAUACGGCCCAGACUCCUACGGGAGGCAGCAGUGGGGAAUAUUGCACAAUGGGCGCAAGCCUGAUGCAGCGACGCCGCGUGAGGGAUGACGGCCUUCGGGUUGUAAACCUCUUUCAGUAUCGACGAAACGCAAGUGACGGUAGAUACAGAAGAAGCACCGGCCAACUACGUGCCAGCAGCGGCGGUAAUUC
rnacentral:rRNA from 1 species